AACGAACGCUGGCGGCAUGCCUAACACAUGCAAGUCGAACGAGACCUUCGGGUCUAGUGGCGCACGGGUGCGUAACGCGUGGGAACCUGCCCUUAGGUUCGGAAUAACUCCCCGAAAGGGGUGCUAAUACCGGAUAAUGUCUUCGGACCAAAGAUUUAUCGCCUUUGGAUGGGCCCGCGUUGGAUUAGCUAGUUGGUAGGGUAAAAGCCUACCAAGGCGACGAUCCAUAGCUGGUCUGAGAGGAUGAUCAGCCACACUGGGACUGAGACGCGGCCCAGACUCCUACGGGAGGCAGCAGUGGGGAAUAUUGGACAAUGGGCGAAAGCCUGAUCCAGCAAUGCCGCGUGAGUGAUGAGGGCCUUAGGGUUGUAAAGCUCUUUUACCCGGGAUGAUAAUGACAGUACCGGGAGAAUAAGCUCCGGCUAACUCCGUG
rnacentral:rRNA from 1 species